rnacentral:rRNA from 1 species
GAUGAACGCUAGCUACAGGCUUAACACAUGCAAGUCGAGGGGAAACGACAUCGAAAGCUUGCUUUUGAUGGGCGUCGACCGGCGCACGGGUGAGUAACGCGUAUCCAACCUGCCCACCACUUGGGGAUAACCUUGCGAAAGUAAGACUAAUACCCGAUGAUAUCUCUAGAAGACAUCUGAAAGGGAUUAAAGAUUUAUCGGUGAUGGAUGGGGAUGCGUCUGAUUAGCUUGUUGGCGGGGGUAACGGCCCACCAAGGCGACGAUCAGUAGGGGUUCUGAGAGGAAGGUCCCCCACAUUGGAACUGAGACACGGUCCAAACUCCUACGGGAGGCAGCAGUGAGGAAUAUUGGUCAAUGGGUGAGAGCCUGAACCAGCCAAGUAGCGUGC